UUCGUCUUGGCGGUGCAUGAAUCAGAUGACGUGAGCUGUUGAAAUGGCGUGAAAUAGCUGAUGCAUUGGGUUUCCGUCGGUGUUCCGCUGCUUGUAAAUAGAGGCUGUAAAUAUAACGUAUAUAGUUUAAAGAUGAGUUUGGGUGCGCGCGCCACCAAGGGUGGUGCGAAGGGGGGCGCUAAAGACGGCAAGCAUGCACAGGACACUCGGAAGAGCACAGACAAAACCCAGACCAAGGAGAAGGUUAAACCACAGGCUACUACAGAACAGCUCCGGAUGGCACACAUGAUCGAUCGUAAAAGCGAUGACGCGUCUGACGUUCGAAGAAUGGUGCUGGAGUUGAUGGAGAUGACGUGCCGCACCGAGGAGGAGGUGUGCUCGGCGCUGCACGACUCCGACAACGACAUGGUCGCCGCCUGCAACCUGCUGCUGGAGGAGAGCCAGCGGAUACAGGGCGAGUGGCGAACCAGCGAGAAAAAGAAAAAGAAGCCACCAGCCCCCGCUGGCAAUGGUGAAUUAGACCCACCACGGGACCCACGCAGUCGUUCUGGACCCAGGCCACGUCGCGGGUCAGGCGAGCGGGGUGGCGAGCGUGGCGAGCGGGGCGAGGGCGGGUGGCGCGGGCGCGGCGGCACGCGCGGGCGGGGCGGCGCGCGGGGGGCGCGGGGCGGCGGCGCCCGUCGCCCGCGCCCCGAGCGCGCCUGCUGGGCCCACACGCAGCCCGGAGGCGGCAGCAACAACAUCGUCGACACAUUCCCCACCACAGAAGACUGGGACAACGAGGAGUGGUCCGGAUCUCUAUCAGACACCAAGGUGUUGCAGGUGUUCACGCCCAGCUCCGCCGCGCAGCCCGCCGACGCAGCGCCCGACGCGCCGCCCACUCAGGAGUGGGAGGCGACGGAGGCCAACGGUCCGCUGGAGGCGCACAUCCCCACCUACACGUACCACAACUCCGCGCACAUACCCGCGCAUCCCCACCACCCGCUACGGGACCAAAUAAGUUCAGUGAGCCGGCAGUCGCCGGUGUCGGGCGCGGUGGCGGCGCCGGCCGAGCCGCAGCCGCCCGCCGAUACUUACCAUCAUCCGGUUCAUCAUCAGCCAAUGGGCAUGUCUGGAAGUCUGACGGCGGCGCAGUCGCAGUAUCUCUCGCAACUCACACAGCAGUCGCAGAGGCACGACAAUAGCGUGUACACGUCAAAUUACGGCGUGUACGGCAACACAGACAUCACCAGUCAGAGGAAACCGCAGCGAGCGAGAGUUCCUCCUCCCUCUAAGAUCCCGUCUAUGGCGGUGGAGAUGCCGGGAGGCGGCGAGGGUGGCAUGUUCCUGGACGUGCAGUUCGGCGCCCUGGAGCCCGACGCGCUCCGGGACAACUGCACCCCCAAGCCGCAGCAGCAGCCGCCCGCGCCGGCACCGACAGCGGCAGCAGCGCCCGCCGCCGCGCCCGCCUCCCCCGCCGCCGCCACGCCGCCGCACGAGCCGCCCGCCACCCCGCCCGCGCCCCUGCCCUACCAGCCGCCGAGCACUGCCCUGAGUGAGAGUUUAGCAGUAGUGGAGCCGACGCCCGUGAGUGCGCCGGCCGCCGCCGAGCCCGCGGUCACCAACACUACCUCGUCCCUGGAGGCGGCGCUGUCGAGCAUGAAGCAGCUGUCGGUGUCGGACGCGCCGCCGCCGCAGCACCAGCCGCAGCACCACAGGCCCAAGACUGUAGGACAACAGAAUGUGUACGCGCAUCACGCGGUGUCACAUCACCCGCCUGUAUACGGAGCCAAUGUCUAUGCGCCACAGCAGGUGAACUCGAGCAACGCGUCGCUGACGGGCGCGUCGGCCAUGUCGGCGUCCGCCUACCCGUCCAGCGUCACGCUCACGCAGUACCAGCCCAUCAUCAACUCAUACCAGACAUCGUCGUCGGCGGGCCCGUACGGCGGCAGCGCCCUGUACACAGCGGCGCCCUACACUCCCUACCAGCCCACCGCCCAGCCCAAGCAGCCGCCCAAGGAGACGCAGCAGCAACAAUACGACAGUUCAGUGGCGUCGAGUAACAGUUUAACGAGUACGACGACGCAAACGCAGACUUCCACAGCCAAAGUAGCGACUACCACAGUGGCGGGGCACGGGUCCGGGUACGCGGGCGGCGCGCUGUACGGCGCCGCCGCCACGCCGGCCUACGCGCCCUACGACGACCAGCUCAUGCGCUCCACGCUGCCGCACCACAUGGGCGGGUAUUAUGAGGUGGGCUACGGCGGACGGGACGCGACGUUCGGCCUCAGUGCUGGUGAACGAUUCGGAAGGACUGAUGCUGCUUCACCACAACAGGUGCCAGCGGCGGCGUUACCUCCCGGCUACGCGUACUUCGCGUACCAGCCGCCUCCCACCACAUACCAGUAUGGCGUCUAUCCCACGUACGGCGGCGGGUCGAACGUGGGCGGCGUGGGCGGAGUGGGCGGCGUGUCGACGCAGGGCAAGGUGUCCACCUACACGCAGCAGCAGCCCUACGACGCGCAGGACUCAUAUAAACCUGGCGGCGGCUACACGGGCAGCGGCAGCAAGGCGGGCGGCGGCGCGGCGGCGGAGCUCGGCAACGCCAUCUACGCCAAGCCGCAUCCCGCGCUCAACAAGGUCAACCGGUACGCCGCCCCCCUUCGGCGGAGCCUCGCACCUCUACAUCCCCGCGCCGCCGCACCACCACCCGCACCACCACGCGCCGCAGCAGCACCAGAUGGAUGUACGGGUGAACAGUAGUCAUAAUAGGCGGGAGAGCGGGGCGGGCGGCGGUCGGGCGGCAGCCAGCAAGCCGGCGGCCAGCAAGCCUAGCUACUCGCAGUCCUACUGGGCACCCAACUAGCUAACACUGUGCUUGUUACAGGGUCGGGCGCUCGGUGCGGUGCAGCGUGCCCUCUGAAGUAACCUAGCUCAAUACUAAACCAACUCCACGCGACACAAAUACCGCAUUAUUAUAUAAAUUCAUAGUGUAAAGGCAUCGCCGCCGUCACCUAAGAUUUUUUUUUUUCAUUUUUUUUAAAUACUACUGUCGUCGGUAGCCAGAUGUCGUAGUUGAACGAUGCAAUAUAAUUAUGUAUUUUAUUUGUUUAUGAGCGUCGUGACGACGUCGAUGCAUCAUCUCAUUCGUUAAGUCCGCUAUCAUAGGUUUCAAUUGUUUAAAGAAAUUACCUCUAGUGCUAUGUAUAUCUAAUAAAGUAUGUAUAUGUAUGUAAGCAUUUGGUACGCUAUGCGCGCCGAAGUUUUUUAUUUAGUUGACAUACUUUUUGUAAUUAACACUUAUUAUUAAAAAUGAUUAAAGAGAUGUCAUAGGACGAUAAUCGUAAUUGUAACGAGUAUGAUAGUCGAGCUCUUUUAUAUGUGGAAGAAUGCACUUGUGAUGAUCUCGCGGGCAUUUGAAAGUAUGACGGAUUACACAUAUUGGAACUUGA
rnacentral:misc_RNA from 1 species